rnacentral:snoRNA from 1 species
AAGCAUCUCUGACAGACCUAGAGCAGUUAAUGGCAGCUGCUAAGGUUUCCAUGACAGAUGCAAGAAAAAAAAAGGUCUUCGUACUUUCUGUCUGGUUGUGGCAGCCAAGACUGAAUGGGGGAAUACAGGA